rnacentral:rRNA from 1 species
AUUGAACGCUGGCGGCAGGCCUAACACAUGCAAGUCGAACGAGUGGCGGACGGGUGAGUAAUGUCUGGGAAACUGCCCGAUGGAGGGGGAUAACUACUGGAAACGGUAGCUAAUACCGCAUACCAUCGGAUGUGCCCAGAUGGGAUUAGCUAGUAGGUGGGGUAACGGCUCACAUAGGCGACGAUCCCUAGCUGGUCUGAGAGAAUGACAAGCCACACUGGAACUGAGAGACGGGCCAGACUGCUGAGGGAGGCAGCAGUGGGGAAGAUUGCACAAUGGGGGCAAGCCUGAUGCAGCCAUGCCGCGUGUAUGAAGAAGGCCGUCGGGUUGUAAAGUACUUUCAGCGAUGAGGCGUUACUCGCAGAAGAAGCACCGUCUAACUCCGUGCCAGCAGCCGCGGUAAUUC